AGCUGGACCAGACUUAGUCAGUUGAAGGCACUUAUAAGGAGGCCUGAAACCCUCCUGUUAAGAGCUCUCUUGUUGGCCUUGAAGAAGCUGUCAUGAGUUCUACAGCUACAAGGACAUGAACUUUACCAACAACUGUGUGAGCUUGGAGGACCCUGUACCUCAGAGACUCUGCAGCCCUGGCUGACACCUUGCUUACAGCCUUGGGAGAGCUUGGAUAAAAGACCCAGGAUGUUUGCUGCCAAUAUUCUCUGCUUCUCACCUGGAAUUGCACCACCUUCUCUGUGGCAAGACAUAAUUGUGGUGUGAAGUGUCCAGCACCAGGCCUACUGAUGCAAUUACCCAGGUGGAGCGUGAAGGCAGCCCACUGGCGUGCGCUGGCCACAAAGGCCCCAUCUUCCACAGAGAGAUAGCGC